AAGAUGAGGAAGUUAGCAAUAAGGAAGCAGAGGACCAGAGAGAUGAAGGGAUGUACCCCAGGUGUGGGAUGUUAAGGGCAAGGGCCUGCGUUGCCUGACUCCUGAUCCCAUUCUUGCUGCUUUCCUGACACUUCCCAACUCAUGGGGACAGACCCGAAGAGAGACAAGCCCUUAGACAAGACACGUGGGUCAUGACCAGAAAUGAAAAAGGAUGGACUAGAAGAGCACAUCACAUACCCUUCAUCCUGCAGCUGUGCUGGCAACUAUAUGAGGACCGGCUCUAUGAGAUGGGGUGUGUUGGCCAGGAACGUCAUUGGCUCUCUUGCUCAUUGGCCUCUCCAGGGCUGGCUUCAUGCGGGAGCCACGAGUGCGAAGAGAACAGAUGAUGGGAAAAAUACAGAAAUAUGUUCAAGUUCAGCUGCUGGAUCUGGAAAUGUAAACACAAUAUUGAGAAAAAUGUUGACUAAUAAAAACUUUUAUUUUAUUUGAGCUGCUUUCUGAAAAAGAAGUAGAUGCAAGACCUUAUAAUGAAGAUUGUUUAAAUAUGAUUUAAUAAAACAUGCAAAGCUUAA